rnacentral:rRNA from 1 species
AGCCUGAUGCCAGCGACGCCGCUUGCGGGAUGGAGGCCUUCGGGUUGUAAACCGCUUUUGUUUGGGAGCAAGCCCUUCGGGGUGAGUGUCCCUUUCGAAUAAGCACCGGCUAACUACGUGCCAGCAGCCGCGGUAAUACGUAGGGUGCAAGCGUUAUCCGGAAUUAUUGGGCGUAAAGGGCUCGUAGGCGGUUCGUCGCGUCCGGUGUGAAAGCCCAUCGCUUAACGGUGGGUCUGCGCCGGGUACGGGCGGGCUGGAGUGCGGUAGGGGAGACUGGAAUUCCCGGUGUAACGGUGGAAUGUGUAGAUAUCGGGAAGAACACCAAUGGCGAAGGCAGGUCUCUGGGCCGUCACUGACGCUGAGGAGCGAAAGCGUGGGGAGCGAACAGGAUUAGAUACCCUGGUAGUCCACGCCGUAAACGGUGGAUGCUGGAUGUGGGGCCCGUUCCACGGGUUCCGUGUCGGAGCUAACGCGUUAAGCAUCCCGCCUGGGGAGUACGGCCGCAAGGCUAAAACUCAAAGAAAUUGACGGGGGCCCGCACAAGCGGCGGAGCAUGCGGAUUAAUUCGAUGCAACGCGAAGAACCUUACCUGGGCUUGACAUGUUCCCGACAGCCGUAGAGAUAUGGCCUCCCUUCGGGGCGGGUUCACAGGUGGUGCAUGGUCGUCGUCAGCUCGUGUCGUGAGAUGUUGGGUUAAGUCCCGCAACGAGCGCAACCCUCGCCCUGUGUUGCCAGCACGUCAUGGUGGGAACUCACGGGGGACCGCCGGGGUCAACUCGGAGGAAGGUGGGGAUGACGUCAGAUCAUCAUGCCCCUUACGUCCAGGGCUUCACGCAUGCUACAAUGGCCGGUACAGCGGGAUGCGACAUGGCGACGACGACAUCCACCCAGGGAAAGAUCCUUGCAAUAACC